rnacentral:tRNA from 1 species
GCCGAUGUGGCGGAAUUGGCAGACGCGCUAGACUCAAAAUCUAGUGGUGGUGACACCAUGGGGGUUCGAUCCCCUCCAUCGGCACCA